UACGUAGGGGGCUAGCGUUGUCCGGAUUUAUUGGGCGUAAAGAGCGUGUAGGCGGCCAGGUAGGUCUGCUGUGAAAACUCGAGGCUCAACCUCGAGACGUCGGCGGAAACCAUCUGGCUAGAGUCCGGAAGAGGAGAGUGGAAUUCCUGGUGUAGAGGUGAAAUUCGUAGAUAUUCGGAGGAACACCAGUGGCGAAGGCGGCUCACUGGCUCGAUACUGACGCUGAGGUGCGAAAGCGUGGGGAGCAAACAGG
rnacentral:rRNA from 1 species